rfam:Neotoma lepida isolate 417 scaffold_786, whole genome shotgun sequence.
ACAACGGCUCUUUUCAGAGCCAUUCACUUUCUCAAAACAGAGCUUG